UACGUAGGUGGCAAGCGUUGUCCGGAUUUACUGGGUGUAAAGGGCGUGUAGCCGGGCUGACAAGUCAGAUGUGAGAUCCGGGGGCUCAACCCCCGAACUGCAUUUGAAACUGUCAGUCUUGAGUACCGGAGAGGGCAUCGGAAUUCCUUGUGUAGCGGUGAAAUGCGUAGAUAUAAGGAAGAACACCAGUGGCGAAGGCGGAUGACUGGACGGCAACUGACGGUGAGGCGCGAAAGCGUGGGGAGCAAACAGG
rnacentral:rRNA from 1 species